CCUACGGGUGACAGCAGUGAGGAAUAUUGGUCAAUGGACGAGAGUCUGAACCAGCCAAGUAGCGUGAAGGAUGACUGCCCUAUGGGUUGUAACCUUCUUUUAUAUGGGAAUAAAAUGUUCAACGUGUGGUAUUUUGUAUGUACCAUAUGAAUAAGGAUCGGCUAACUCCGUGCCAGCAGCCACGGUAAUAAGGAGGAUCCGAGCGUUAUCCGACUUUAUUGGGUUUAAAGGGAGCGUAGGUGGAUUGUUAAGUCAGUUGUGAAAGUUUGCGGCUCAACCGUAAAAUUGCAGUUGAAACUGGCAGUCUUGAGUACAGUAGAGGUGGGCGGAAUUCGUGGUGUAGCGGUGAAAUGCUUAGAUAUCACGAAGAACUCCGAUUGCGAAGGCAGUUCACUGGACUGCAACUGACACUGAGGCUCGAAAGUGUGGGUAUCAAACAGGAUUAGAUACCCCUGUAGUC
rnacentral:rRNA from 1 species